rnacentral:rRNA from 1 species
GAUGAACGCUGGCGGCGUGCCUAAUACAUGCAAGUCGAGCGAACAGACGAGGAGCUUGCUCCUCUGACGUUAGCGGCGGACGGGUGAGUAACACGUGGAUAACCUACCUAUAAGACUGGGAUAACUUCGGGAAACCGGAGCUAAUACCGGAUAAUAUAUUGAACCGCAUGGUUCAAUAGUGAAAGACGGUUUUGCUGUCACUUAUAGAUGGAUCCGCGCCGCAUUAGCUAGUUGGUAAGGUAACGGCUUACCAAGGCGACGAUGCGUAGCCGACCUGAGAGGGUGAUCGGCCACACUGGAACUGAGACACGGUCCAGACUCCUACGGGAGGCAGCAGUAGGGAAUCUUCCGCAAUGGGCGAAAGCCUGACGGAGCAACGCCGCGUGAGUGACGAAGGUCUUCGGAUCGUAAAACUCUGUUAUUAGGGAAGAACAAAUGUGUAAGUAACUAUGCACGUCUUGACGGUACCUAAUCAGAAAGCCACGGCUAACUACGU